AUCCCGUACAAUCACCGAAGUUAAGCAACAUCGAGCCUGGUCAGUACCUAGAUGGGUAACCGCUUGGGAAUACCAGGUGCUGUAAG